rnacentral:rRNA from 1 species
GACGAACGCUGGCGGCGUGCUUAACACAUGCAAGUCGAACGAUGAAGAAAAGAAUUGAAGCUUCGGCAGAAAUUCAUUUCGGAUUAGUGGCAGACGGGUGAGUAACGCGUGAGCAGCCUACCUCUUACAAAGGGAUAGCCUCGGGAAACCGGGAUUAAUACCAUAUAACAUUGCGACGAAGCAUUUCGAUGCAAUCAAAGCUACGGCGGUAAGAGAUGGGCUCGCGUCCCAUUAACCAGAUGGUGAGGUAACGGCUCACCAUAGUAACGAUGGGUAACCGGCCUGAGAGGGUGAACGGUCACACUGGAACUGAGACACGGUCCAGACUCCUACGGGAGGCAGCAGUGGGGAAUAUUGCACAAUGGAGGGAACUCUGAUGCAGCGACGCCGCGUGAGUGAUGAAGGAAUUCGUUUCGUAAAACUCUGUUCUAUGGGAAGAAAAGGACUGUACCAUAGGAGAAAGCUCCGGCUAAAUACGUG